AACCUGGGAGGUGGAGGUUGCAGCGAGCCAGAUUGCUCCAUUGCACUCCAGCCUGGGCAACAAGAGCGAAAAAGAUUGUGCCACUGCACUCCAGUCUGGGUGACAGAGCGAGAUUCUGUCUCAAAAAAUAAAAAUUAAAAAAAUUAAAAAAGAUUAAAAUACAAUAAGGUAAUUAAGCAAAACCACAAAAUUUAUCAAAUUCGGUUAAAUCCAGAAUCUGUUGAACAGUUUUAUAGAUAUUUCUUGUCUUUUUCUGUGAAAAUACCAACAGGCAAUUUCUUUCUUAACCAAAGAAAUUAACAAGAUAAUACUUGAUUAAUAGGAGAAUGAAAUUAAAAGUCCACUCAUUUAUUUUGAUGCGAAUAUUUGUUAUCUUGUGUGCCUGACACUGUGCUAAGUGCUAAAAUAGAAAUUGAACAUGACCUAGUUUUUGCUCUCAAAGACCUCACAGUUUAGAAGACUCAAAUAUUAUGCAGCAAAAUAAGUGCUGUGUGUACAAAGAACAGGGAGCUCAGAGGAAGCAGCAAUUAGUACUGAUGGGGGAUUGUGGAAAGAUUAACAGAGGAGAUGGAACUUGAGCUGAUUUGUAAGGAUGAGUUAAGAUGUUGAUAGGCAUGGGAAAAGUGAAGACAUAAAGGCAUUUAAGGAUACAGCAUGUGAAGGAAAGGACAAGAAGUCUAGUAGGGCUCGGUAAGUUACACAGGUGCAUGGGAGAUGGGGAAAGAAUUCAUAUUAUGUAUCAAGCUCUUGAGUUCUGUAAUGUGCUGGACACUCAGACUGAAUGAAAAGGUGCAGUAAAAAUAUAAGUGUGGCCCCUGUUGUUAACACGACUAUAUAUUAAACAACAGUAAACACAUCAAGAAGUAAUAACCAAGUACUAAAUUUUGUGGAGCAAUAGAAAUUCAAUCAAAUUGGAGCUAUAGGGAAGAGCAGAAGGUCAAAGAAGAGUAGAGUCAAGGAGGCUUUAUCAAAGAGGUAGGAACUGAUCUGGGCCUGGAAGGAUGGGUAAGAUGUGGACAGAUGAAUGGGAGAACAUGGCAGAACAGCAGGAGUGAAACCAGCAAGUAUUCAUCACCCACCACUCCCUUAUCCAGCUCUAUAGCAAGUAUAUUGAGCAAGAAAAGCAUGGCUGUCACUUUUAAGCAGCUUAAAGUCCAGUUAUCAAGAUAAGCGAUGUAACCAACAAAUCAGUGCUGGAUUAGCCAGUAGGCAAACAUGCACUACAGAUUUUCUGAAAGUAUAUGAUAUUUCAAAAAUCAAAGAAGUUUCCAUUAGAAAAAGCUGGGCACGGUGGCUUACACCUGCAAUCUCAGCACUUUGGGAGACCAAGGCCGGGCAGAUCACUUGAGGUCAGGGGUUUGAGACCAAACUGGCCAACAUGGCAAAACCCCUGUCUCUACUAAAAAUAUAAAAAUUACCCAGAGUAGUGACGCGCGCCUGUAAUUCUAGCUACUCGGGAGGCUGAGACACGAGAAUCGCUUGAACCCAGAAGGCAGAGGUUGCAGUGAGCCGAGAUCGCACCACUACACUUCAGCUUGGGUGAUGGAGUGAGACUCUGUCUCAAAAAAAAAAAAAAAAAGGAAAAGAGAAAGAGAGAGAGAAAAAAAGGAAGGAGGGAAGGAAGGAAGGAAGAGGGAAAGAAAGAGAGAAAGAGCAGAACUCUGUUAGACUUCCUUAUAUUCGUAUUAUGGUUUAGUCUUUGUUUCUUCUCAUUGCAUGUAGUGGGGAGGGGAACUAUAAUUUUUUGGAAGUUAGAGUCUCUAAAAAUUUUAGUUCAGCUUCCUGGAAUGGGAUAAAAACCACAUAGAUAGUAGAGUUAAUAAUCCCCACAGAACUCAAAGUGGGAGAAAAUACAGGCUGGAGCAAUCUGGUCAGCCUAGAGGAGAAAACAUUCAAGUUAAACCUCUUAUGGAAGCUUGAGUAGAAAUUGGCUCCAAGAGGGAGCAAGAGCUCCGUGGAGAAAAGGAAGCCCCAAAAGGGAAUGCCCUGAGGUAUGAGCCAGACCCAGCCGGAGGGAACAGAGAAGAUGAAGCUGGAAAGGGAGUGAGAGAUUGAAGCUGAAGGUUUCUAGUUGGUGGGAUUAUCAGCCAUGGUCUGUUGGUAAUAACAACAGGAGUUCUUCUUAAUAUCCUUUUGAACUGUUGAUGAAAUGAGAUUCACUGCAUUGUAGAGAAUGACAAAUUAUCAUCUUCCACGGAAGACUGCCAUCAUGGACUAAGUUUGGUUUAUUUUUUGUGACAGAGAAGAGCAAUACAGGUGGUAAGCCAGUUAAUUUGUUUCAUUGUGUUUUGGGGGUUAUUUUUUACACUAAUUGAAAGAUUCGGCAUUUUAUUUUAUUUUAU
rnacentral:lncRNA from 1 species